rnacentral:rRNA from 1 species
CCCUUAGAUGUUCUGGGCCGCACGCGCGCUACACUGACGGAGGCAGCGAGCGUGUCCUUCGCCGGCAGGUGCGGGCAAUCUUGCGAGUCUCCGUCGUGCUGGGGAUAGAUGGUUGCAAUUGUCGAUCUUGAACGAGGAAUUCCUAGUAAGCGCGAGUCAUCAGCUCGCGCUGAUUACGUCCCUGCCCUUUGCACACACCGCCCGUCGCUACUACAGAGUGCCCGUGUCCAAGAAACGGUCGGACCUGUGCGGCCUCUCCGGGCGACCGGAGGGCCGUUACGGGGAAGACCCUUUAUUUGACGCGGGUCGAUGAAGUAAAAGUCGUAACA